rnacentral:rRNA from 1 species
GAUGAACGCUAGCUACAGGCUUAACACAUGCAAGUCGAGGGGUAACGAGAGGAAAGCUUGCUUUCCUUGUCGACGACCGGCGCACGGGUGAGUAACGCGUAUCCAACCUGCCCCCAACUAGGGAAUAACCUUGCGAAAGUAAGACUAAUACCCUAUAAUUUCCUCAGAUGACAUCUGACGAGGAAUAAAGAUUUAUCGGUUGUGGAUGGGGAUGCGUCUGAUUAGCUUGUUGGCGGGGUAACGGCCCACCAAGGCAACGAUCAGUAGGGGUUCUGAGAGGAAGGUCCCACACAUUUGAACUGCGACACGGUCCAAACUCCUACGGGAGGCAGCAGUGAGGAAUAUUGGUUAAUGGGCGGAAGCCUGAACCAGCCAAGUAGCGUGCAGGAUGACGGCCCUAUGGGUUGUAAACUGCUUUUAUACAGGAAUAAAGUUAGCCACGUGUGGUUAUUUGUAGGUACUGUAUGAAUAAGGACCGGCUAAUUCCGUGCCAGCCGCCGCAGUAA